CCUGGCUUAGGAUGAACGCUGGCGGCGUGCCUAAUACAUGCAAGUCGAACGCUAAUCUUCGGAUUAGAGUGGCGAACGGGUGAGUAACACGUAGGUAACCUGCCCAUAAGACGAGGAUAACUACUGGAAACGGUAGCUAAUACUGGAUAGUAUAUAGAAUCGCAUGAUUUUAUAUUUAAAGGUGCUGCAAGGCACUACUUAUGGAUGGACCUGCGGCGCAUUAGCUAGUGGUGAGGUAACGGCCCACCAAGGCGACGAUGCGUAGCCGGACUGAGAGGUUGAACGGCCACAUUGGGACUGAGACACGGCCCAGACUCCUACGGGAGGCAGCAGUAGGGAAUUUUCGGCAAUGGACGCAAGUCUGACCGAGCAACGCCGCGUGAGUGAUGAAGUUCUUCGGAACGUAAAAUUCUUUUAUUUGGAAAAAACGUAUAGUGUAGGAAAUGACAUUAUAGUGAUGGUACCAAAUGAAUAAGCCCCGGCUAACUAUGUGCCAGCAGCGGC
rnacentral:rRNA from 1 species